rfam:Helianthus annuus linkage group 16, whole genome shotgun sequence.
CUCACGAUAUUAAGAAUGUGGUAGUUCUUUGAAUGCAAGAGGUGUUGGUUCGAAUCCAACUCGUGAGA